AAGCUCACCUGGCGGGGGAGAUACCAUGGUCAUGAAGGUGGUGUUCCCAGGCGAAGCUUCUCCAUUGCAGUCCGGAGGUGCUGACCCUUGCGAUUUCCUAAAAUGUGGGAAACUCGACUGCAUCAUUUGUGGUAGUGGGUACUGUGUUCUCACUCCCUU
rnacentral:snRNA from 1 species